rnacentral:sRNA from 1 species
AGCAGCCGCGGUAAUUCCAGCUCCAAUAGCGUAUAUUAAAGUUGCUGCAGUUAAAAAGCUCGUAGUUGAAUUUCGGGACCAUCAUGUUGGUCGUGCCUCGGUACGUACUGGCAUUGUUGGUUUCUCCCUUCUGACGAACCAUGAUGUCAUUUAUUUGGUGUUGUGGGAAAUCAGGACUGUUACUUUGAAAAAAUUAGAGUGUUUAAAGCAGGCUCACGCUUGAAUACAUUAGCAUGGAAUAAUGAAAUAGGACGUUUGAUUCUAUUUUGUUGGUUUCUAGGAUCGAUGUAAUGAUUAAUAGGGAUAGUUGGGGGCAUUAGUAUUCAAUUGUCAGAGGUGAAAUUCUUGGAUUUAUUGAAGACUAACUACUGCGAAAGCAUUUGCCAAGGAUGUUUUCAUUAAUCAAGAACGAAAGUUAGGGGAUCGAAGACGAUCAGAUACCGUCGUAGUCUUAACCAUAAACUAUGCCGACUAGGGAUCGGAUGAUGUUAAUUUUUUAAUGACUCAUUCGGCGCCUUAC